rfam:Bacillus manliponensis strain JCM 15802 contig22, whole genome shotgun sequence.
UAUAUGCUACAACCGCACGAAACAGGUUCUGAAAUGACAGUGAUGUCUACCUCGUUUUGGCGAGUCUUAGUAAUUAU